UGGAAAGAUGAAUCAAAGAAGGUAAUAAUCCUGUAGUCGAAAAUGUUGUCUCUCUUGAGUGGAUCCUGAGUACGACGGAGCACGUGAAAUUCCGUCGGAAUCUGGGAGGACCAUCUCCUAAGGCUAAAUACUCUCUAGUGACCGAUAGUGAACCAGUACCGUGAGGGAAAGGUGAAAAGCACCCCGGAAGGGGAGUGAAAUAGAACCUGAAACCGUGUGCUUACAAGUAGUCAGAGCCCGUUAAUGGGUGAUGGCGUGCCUUUUGUAGAAUGAACCGGCGAGUUACGAUUUGAUGCAAGGUUAAGCAGUAAAUGUGGAGCCGUAGCGAAAGCGAGUCUGAAUAGGGCGUUUAGUAUUUGGUCGUAGACCCGAAACCAGGUGAUCUACCCUUGGUCAGGUUGAAGUUCAGGUAACACUGAAUGGAGGACCGAACCGACUUACGUUGAAAAGUGAGCGGAUGAACUGAGGGUAGCGGAGAAAUUCCAAUCGAACCUGGAGAUAGCUGGUUCUCUCCGAAAUAGCUUUAGGGCUAGCCUCAAGUGAUGAUUAUUGGAGGUAGAGCACUGUUUGGACGAGGGGCCCCUCUCGGGUUACCGAAUUCAGACAAACUCCGAAUGCCAAUUAAUUUAACUUGGGAGUCAGAACAUGGGUGAUAAGGUCCGUGUUCGAAAGGGAAACAGCCCAGACCACCAGCUAAGGUCCCAAAAUAUAUGUUAAGUGGAAAAGGAUGUGGCGUUGCCCAGACAACUAGGAUGUUGGCUUAGAAGCAGCCAUCAUUUAAAGAGUGCGUAAUAGCUCACUAGUCGAGUGACACUGCGCCGAAAAUGUACCGGGGCUAAACAUAUUACCGAAGCUGUGGAUUGUCCUUUGGACAAUGGUAGGAGAGCGUUCUAAGGGCGUUGAAGCAUGAUCGUAAGGACAUGUGGAGCGCUUAGAAGUGAGAAUGCCGGUGUGAGUAGCGAAAGACGGGUGAGAAUCCCGUCCACCGAUUGACUAAGGUUUCCAGAGGAAGGCUCGUCCGCUCUGGGUUAGUCGGGUCCUAAGCUGAGGCCGACAGGCGUAGGCGAUGGAUAACAGGUUGAUAUUCCUGUACCACCUAUAAUCGUUUUAAUCGAUGGGGGGACGCAGUAGGAUAGGCGAAGCGUGCGAUUGGAUUGCACGUCUAAGCAGUAAGGCUGAGUAUUAGGCAAAUCCGGUACUCGUUAAGGCUGAGCUGUGAUGGGGAGAAGACAUUGAGUCUUCGAGUCGUUGAUUUCACACUGCCGAGAAAAGCCUCUAGAUAGAAAAUAGGUGCCCGUACCGCAAACCGACACAGGUAGUCAAGAUGAGAAUUCUAAGGUGAGCGAGCGAACUCUCGUUAAGGAACUCGGCAAAAUGACCCCGUAACUUCGGGAGAAGGGGUGCUCUUUAGGGUUAACGCCCAGAAGAGCCGCAGUGAAUAGGCCCAAGCGACUGUUUAUCAAAAACACAGGUCUCUGCUAAACCGUAAGGUGAUGUAUAGGGGCUGACGCCUGCCCGGUGCUGGAAGGUUAAGAGGAGUGGUUAGCUUCUGCGAAGCUACGAAUCGAAGCCCCAGUAAACGGCGGCCGUAACUAUAACGGUCCUAAGGUAGCGAAAUUCCUUGUCGGGUAAGUUCCGACCCGCACGAAAGGCGUAACGAUUUGGGCACUGUCUCAACGAGAGACUCGGUGAAAUCAUAGUACCUGUGAAGAUGCAGGUUACCCGCGACAGGACGGAAAGACCCCGUGGAGCUUUACUGUAGCCUGAUAUUGAAAUUCGGCACAGCUUGUACAGGAUAGGUAGGAGCCUUUGAAACGUGAGCGCUAGCUUACGUGGAGGCGCUGGUGGGAUACUACCCUAGCUGUGUUGGCUUUCUAACCCGCACCACUUAUCGUGGUGGGAGACAGUGUCAGGCGGGCAGUUUGACUGGGGCGGUCGCCUCCUAAAAGGUAACGGAGGCGCUCAAAGGUUCCCUCAGAAUGGUUGGAAAUCAUUCAUAGAGUGUAAAGGCAUAAGGGAGCUUGACUGCGAGACCUACAAGUCGAGCAGGGUCGAAAGACGGACUUAGUGAUCCGGUGGUUCCGCAUGGAAGGGCCAUCGCUCAACGGAUAAAAGCUACCCCGGGGAUAACAGGCUUAUCUCCCCCAAGAGUUCACAUCGACGGGGAGGUUUGGCACCUCGAUGUCGGCUCAUCGCAUCCUGGGGCUGUAGUCGGUCCCAAGGGUUGGGCUGUUCGCCCAUUAAAGCGGUACGCGAGCUGGGUUCAGAACGUCGUGAGACAGUUCGGUCCCUAUCCGUCGUGGGCGUAGGAAAUUUGAGAGGAGCUGUCCUUAGUACGAGAGGACCGGGAUGGACAUACCUCUGGUGUACCAGUUGUCGUGCCAACGGCAUAGCUGGGUAGCUAUGUGUGGACGGGAUAAGUGCUGAAAGCAUCUAAGCAUGAAGCCCCCCUCAAGAUGAGAUUUCCCAACUUCGGUUAUAAGAUCCCUCAAAGAUGAUGAGGUUAAUAGGUUCGAGGUGGAAGCAUGGUGACAUGUGGAGCUGACGAAUACUAAUCGAUCGAAGAC
rnacentral:rRNA from 1 species